UACAGAGGGUGCGAGCGUUGUCCGGAAUCACUGGGCGUAAAGGGCGCGUAGGUGGCGCUGCAAGUCGGUGGUGAAAGCUCGAUGCUUAACAUCGAGUCGGCCAUCGAAACUGCAGGGCUCGAGCACUGUAGGGGCAGAUGGGAAUUCCGGGUGUAGCGGUGGAAUGCGUAGAUAUCAGGAGGAACACCGAUGGCGAAGGCAGGUCACUGGGCCGCAACUGACGCUGAGGAGCGAAAGCAUGGGGAGCGAACAGG
rnacentral:rRNA from 1 species